UAUAUAGUAUAUAUAUAACAUACAUGACAUAUAUAUGUAAUUUAUUCCUUUGUUGGUUCAGGGAAGUAUGAUUUUCUAAAUGUGUCGCUUAAUGUGUUUAUUAAUGCUGUUUCAAUUAUAUACACUCUUUCCUUACUGAAGUAUUCAUCUACUACGUGGAGCAUGGUAAGUAAUAUAUCGCAUAUUCACUUUUCUCUUAAUACAAUGUAAUUGUCAUAUCAGUAUUAUUUAUUCAGUCUACAGUUUUCCAUAGUUUUCAUAUUUUUAAUUUGUGUAAAACUACCUUCAACAAUUAUGAUGGAUUCCUUAUCUAAAGUUGAUCAGUAUUCUAAAUGCUCAAAAUGGUGUAUAUGAGCUCGUCAUCUUUGAAUAAGGUUUUCUAGUGAGUUUAGACACAAUUUAAGGAUAAGAAAUGUUUCAAUUAUGUGCUUCAUUGCUGUAGGUGGAUCUCCCCAUAAUUUCACCUGGAAUUUGUACAAUAUCAAGGGCUGUUCAUGAACUUUGUGUUUAAAGAACAAUUUCCAUGGCAUUCUGCCACAAAGAGGCAGCAUUCACCCAUGAGAAAAUUGACAGUAACUACUUGAAUUCAGAUUGAACAGGUGGUACCAGUUUCCCAGAGGAUUAAAAAAAAAAACAAAUUGUAAUGCUACAUUGACCAAGUACAGUAGGCUGUUCAUAUUCUUUGCAACAUUUUCCUUUCUAAUCUUUUUUUCAAAGGGGAAAGGAAUAAGCUUAAUAAUGCCAUGGUAUUAUCAUGAAGAAAAGUGCAUUGCUUGCUCUUCAUCUACCUCCUCUAUAUUAGAUCCAAGAUUAGAAAAGAAAAAAAAAAUACUAGCAUUUGACUUCACAAUUGAGAUUGGUAUUAUUCUUCACAGCAGCAGGAAGUUAUUUUUUUAAUGUCAGUAUCACUUCCUCAACCUUAUUAUAUAUAGAUAUGACAGUUUUAUAAAUUAUAAAAUAUAAAUGUAAAGUGGAAUCCUCCAUGUAACUUAGUUUUAUUUCUUAAUUGGUGCAUAAAAUAAAAAGAUAAGAAUUACAUAAAAUUAAUGACUUAGUUCUGGGCAAUAUAAGUAACUUUCAAAGAAAGUUUAGUGAUGUAUUUUUCAAAGAUUUACAAAAUUUUAUUGUAAAACCAGCAUUAUUUUACAUCAUUUUGUCACAUAUACUCCCUUUAGGUGGUUCAUUUCUAUCUUACUCUUCCUAAGAUGUCCAAUAUUUUAUUUCAAUCUUCAAAAUAACAUUUAUAGAUUGAUUUUUAAAAGUUCCCCUUAAUUUUUAUAUUUUCCCACUGUGUUCAGAAAAUAAAAGUAAAUUCAUCCUGACUUUCAUAAAUGUGAAAAAUUUUUUAUCAUCUCAGAAUCAUGAAACUGCACAGAAUUUAAAAAUGAAUCAUUUUUCUCCUACCAACGUCUUCCUGCUAAUACAUUAACUCAUAAAUUAGAAUAUAGGUUGUAUAGUGUUGAAUAUUUGAUUUUUGUUGAUUUAAGUUGCUCACUGAGUAGAUAAUUGGAAUGGACAUAUCAGUAGUAUAUGACUGGAGUAAGAAAAUUCUCUUCACAGAAUUUUGAGGAAGAAAAUAUGGAAUGUUUCAGGCACCAAUUAAAUUUGGAUGCACACUAAGCUUACUCUUUGUGCUUGUUCGAUUUAAUAUGUUGCAUAAAUCUCAUAUAUUUAGAGGUAGAUAUUACAAAAUAUUAUUUCUAUGUCUAUGUGAUUAUAAUGUAAAUACUUAAAUUAUAUAAGAAAAAAUAAACAUAUUCCAAGAAAAUGUAGAUAAUUUGAAUGCUAAUAUAAAAAAUCAUUUACAGCUAAACUAUUGAUUGAAGUUGUAAGUUAAACCACCUUAGCAUAGAUAGCCAACUUGGAACAUGUCUUCUGUUUAGUGAAGAUUAUCACCUUUACACAUGAAAAGUGGAAAUUUUUGACAAAUUUCCUGGGAACUCAAGUCUGUUCCUCACCACUGUUUCCUCAAUACUAGUAAGAAAAUCAAACUAGUUUGUAAUGAGAACAUCCACACGUACUGUGAAAAAAGUUACCGUUUAAGAAUUUAAUCCAAGAUUGCAGUUUCUGGGCUUAUGUAUUAGUUAUAUUUGUGUUACUACCUUGUUUUGUUGGCAAAAUAUUCAAAUUAAUAUUCAUUAUUUUCUUUUUCGAUUCUAUUAUUUCUUGUUUCCUUACAUCUGCUCCUUCCCUCCUUCUUUCUCUUUUUUUUUAUCUUUUUUCUUCAUUAUUUUUCAAUAAGGCAAGGGAAAGAGUGAACAUAGUUUAGUCCUAGUUUGAAAUGCCAAAAUCUGGCUAUUUAAUUUGAAGAGUUCCAUCGAUGGUUCCCAAAGUCACAUGACUCCAGAUUAAUGAUAACAUAGCAAAUCCCAAAUAUUCUGUCAAUUUAUUUGGAAAUGUGCUCUUCUUGCACUUUUCAGAUGGCUCCAAGUUAAGAUAUUUGCAGGCAUGGCAAGAUACCUGGAAUGACUACUUUUAAGAAUAAAUUUUACACUAAGAAAAAGGAACUAGGAACAUCAAAGCAACAGAUUUAAAUACUAGAACCAGGCAUAGUUAAUUAAUUAAUUUUCAAAGAGAAUAAAAUGUUGCAAAAGUAUAAACUGUACCAUAUUAACAGUUUUAUUUAUGCAUAAGUUUCUACAAACCCUUUGAGAUUCUCCACUAUUGCAAAUAAAUAUGUGAGAAUAAAAUUAAAGUAGUUGGAUAGACAUUAGUCAUGUGCCUAAAAGUAAUUGUCUAACAUCUAUAUCCUCAUAAACUUUAUAUCCACUGAUAUUGCGCUGUACAUUAUAAUUAUUAAUUUCAAUUCAAUUUAAUGCCUUUCUAUGACUAACCAUAUAUAUUUCCAUGAAUAUAUGUAGCAUGUAUAUGACAUACAAAAAUAGAUGGAUUAUCAAGGAGUUAUUACACACACAUUUUUCCCAAGUUUUUUACAUUUUAAUAUUGUCAAGGAUUUCAAAUUAUACUCUUAUUUUAAUGUUUUAGGAAUGUUAGAUUGGGGACAGAAAAUUUGAUGCAGUAAAAUUUUUGAAUGUGACAAUAAUACAGUACUUUUUUUUUCUUCCUCCGGUUUUAGCAGACCAUGGCUUACUAGCACAGGUCAAAUACUUCCGGUGUUAAUUGUACUAGCAUUAUAAAAACUGUACUAGUAUUAAAAGAACAACAUUUAACUCCAAGUUUGAGAUAUUUAGACUAUUUCCUAAAAUAAUUUCUGAAGAUUAAAAUAGAAAUAUUUUAUAGAAAGUUGAUGUAAUGCAAAUAUAAAAUAAUUUGAUUUUUUAGAGAUCUAAACAAAAUGUUAUGAUAUAUUGCACAAUGCUAAGUAUGUCAGAUCCAUUUUUAUUAGAUGUUAUUAGAGUCAUUUUAUACAAGAAAGUAAUAGUCAAGUAAUAGUCAUAGAGAUAUGUUGAAUGGAAAUCUUCCACUGAGGUUCUUUUUUUUUUUUUGGCAUCUUUAUUAGUAAUCAUGAAGAAAUAUUGUACAUUUCUAUUAUAAAAUAAACAUGUAUAUACUUUAAAAUUUCAUGUUUCUAAAAGUAGAAGUUAUGAACCAUUGUUUUGAAGGAUAUUUUUCAUUUUUGUUGUUGUUUUUAAUUUUAGUUUAACAUAUGCACAGAUGACAUUGUGGCUUUAUUUUGAAGACUCAUUUAUACCUGGUCCACAUUGACAAACUUAUUUGCGAUUUGUAUAUUUAAAUAAUUUUUUCCAGAUAUUAACAUACAAGUUCAAUUCUUUCUUGAUUGUAAUACUUCAAUAUUUAAUCAUAUUUAUAUUCAUAUAUAUUUAUGCGAGCAGCAAAAUUCUGUGGUUUUUGGUGUUCUGGAGUGUACAUGUUUUAGAUUUUUACUCACAAAUUUAUUUCUACCACUAGUGAUCAUUUCUAGCAUUCUCAACUAACACACUUUUCAAAAACCUUAUUGUAUACUUCAUUAAAAACAAUACAUAAUAAUGGAUAUUGAAACCAAAAUUUCUGCAUAUUUUCAAUUUAGUACCUGCCUAUUGAAACAAAAUCUGAAGGGUGUCAGUAAUCCUAGGUUAACUGAUUAGCAAAUUUCUUUUAGGAUACUGUAAUACUCUGACUAGCAUGUUUCAUGCGUGAAAAGUUCAUCGGUGAUAUGCAGACUACAGUUUUAAAUAUUAAAUUUAAAAAUUGAUAUAUAAAAAUGAAAACUUGACCAAUAAAUAUAUCUCACCUGUAAUAAUAUAUUUACAUAAAUUAUCCACACAAAAAAUAUGCCUUUUAACUUUAUAAACAUAGAAUAUUUUUUGCUAUAUUAACAUCCAAAGUCAAAAGGGUGUAUCACUCUGAAAGUUCUAAUAAUAGUGAAAGACUUAUAGCUAUCAAAUUUAUUUAAAUCCUCUGUUUUAAUAUCUACUUUAAAUUUUCACUUCAAAAUAUAAAGUUAAUGGUAUAUAUUUUUCUUUAUAUAGCUGAAAUCUGCCCUUGCUAAAGUUUCAUAAGAUAUACAAUACACAUAAUAGGGUUCCUUCACAGUUUUAUUUUUGUUUAGCAUUUAGUUACCAUAUAUUAAAAUAUGAAGUUAUAAAUUACCACUAGUUAAGUUAUAAUUAUGUUUUUUCAAACAAUAUACCUCAAUUAUAUAAUCAUCCCAAUUUUUUAAAGCUAGUGACCAUGAGCAUAUAUAUGGGUGCAUCCAAAUGAGAAUAUUGAGAUCCAGAAAUUACUAAUUUUAGAGAAUAUUCAAAAUCAUUCACCAGACUGUCAUUUAAACCCAUUCAAUCAGUAUAAUGAUAUAUUUGUUACCCAAUUAUGAUGAAAGAUCCCUAAUUCUUAGAUGAAAAUGUAGUAUUUCACUGGAAAUUCGUUUUUUGAAUGUUAAACCAUAAUUAUUGAGUAUCCAGAUUAUAAAUUUUAAAUAUCCUCUCCAAGAUUUUAUAUAUAUAAUUUAUAUAUAUAUAUACAGAAAAUUAAAGAGGGUCUUUCUAUAAAAGUAAGCAUUUUAGGAAAUCACUAAUUUCAUAUGGCUUUCACUAUGUUUGACUUGUAAUUUAACAACAAAUUUCAUCUUCCUUUAAGAAUUUUUACCCCAGAGAAGGUAUUUGUUUGUAUAGCAUGUACUUGAGUCAUCCGUUGUCCUAUUAUUGGUUUUGGCCUAGUCUCUUCAUUUAGAAGCUCUGUGCCCAAGGUCAGACACAUGGAAAAUGGUCUCUAUCAUUGCCUUUAAUUCUCACAACUGAAUCAUUCUACCACUGUCCCCUACCUCUCUGUUAUUUUUGGAAAGAAAAAAAAAAGAAGGUGAUAUAUCUCUUUAUUUUGCUAACAAAAGAAUUUUAAGAAUAUCCUAAGGCAAAUUCAUGACAUCCCCCACAUUAUUAAAAUAAAAAUAUGACUCAAUUUCUAACAUGGCAAUCAAGAACUAUGUAAGCAGGACUUAGUGUGAAUAAGGGGAUGGGGAUUUUAAAUUGUUACUAUGAAUUUGUGAUUCAUUAGUAAUUUUAAAUACACAACAUCUAAAACAUAAAGGUGGCAAUUUCUUUUUUAGUAUAUUUUAAAUUACACACUUUUGUUGACAGGGUAGGUAAUAUAGUUUACAAAAUGCCACUAUUGCGUGCUUACAAACAUUAAGAAACUUGGUUGCCAACUGAUGACUCAUGUGGUAACUCCUGAAAAAUCUGUUUUAUUUGAUCAGAUCAGCUUUAUUUCCUUUAAAAAAAAUUUUGAAUUCAAAUGAUUUUAGGCUAGAUGAAUAGCUUCCAUAUUUCCAUAUUGUCUUAACCUAGAAACUUCAAAUAAUUUUACAUUACCAGCUAGACCAUAAGUGUAUUUUAACUUUCAAUCAUGAUUAAAUAAAAUUUGUUCCUCUAAUAUUAAAAUGUAUCUAUCAUAAUCAUGGAUUUUUAGAUAUUGUUCUUGGGGAGCUCAGAGUUUAUCAAAGCUUUAUAUGUGAUAUAUGAGGUAGCAAAUACUAUGUAGGUUUAUAUUAAAGAAAUAAAACAAAUAUAAUAAACACGAGAAUGAAUAAUUUUACAUGAAAAGGGGGAGCUGGUAUGUUGUAUAUUAAUAUUGUAUUUGAAAUAUAAAUAUAUGUGUUAAAGUUAACCAUUGACAGUGACUUGGAGUCUCUCAGAGAUGAAAUUACUCCUGUUUAGGUGAUUUUGUAAAAUGCACUAUCUCUCACAGCCCCUGGACAUCAUAAGGGAAGUGGCAGCAGUAAUUUAAGAGGUAUGUGAAUACAGAAGGGAAAUUAUAAUUGCAGCAUACACAGAAGCUUUUCCUAAACUGUUCAACUGCUCAUAUACUUGACAAGAGUGUAAAUGGCCAAUUCAUUGGAAAUAUGUGAAACAUCAAAUAUGAGAAUCACUUUUAGGAUGACAGGUAUAAUUUGGAAAAUCUGAUCCGAUAGAAUUAAGACCAAAACUUUUUUAAAUGGGGGAAGACAGAAUGGCCAUUUUUUUUCAAUGUCUUUGAACAAAAUAAUGAGUAGAAGUAAUAUAUUCUUCACCAUUGCUUAUUGUGUCCAUGAGAGGUUGUUUGUAAAUAGAUAUAUACCUACAGGAAGUAAAAGAUAAUGUAAUGAAAUUCUCAAACUCUCCAAAUAUGUUUGUUUCCUUUUAAGAUUGUUUUUCUUGAGACAAAAAACUGAAAUACUAUCUAAAAUAAUUUUGGAUUUUAUUUCCUCUAUCAUUUUUAUAACAAAAUGUUACUUAGCUUUAUAUAUUGCUAUUAUGUAUGUUUCUAUAUAAAUAUAUAAUUAGUUGGAUUUUUUUUCACUGUUGAUUUGGUUUAGUCAUCAUCUUAGCUUUUUGCCUCAGUGAAAGUAUAGGUUGUGCUUCAAAUGAGAAAAUAAGAGGUGCGAAGUAUUUGCUGUUAUUUUUAUCAAAUGAUAGCCAAUGGCUAAACAUUAAAAUGAUGAUUCUGUUAUUCCAAAUUAAGUUUCUUUGUCCACCACAGAUUGAUGGUGUGUCUUUGGCAACUUUCUUUGUGUCUCUGCUUUAAUUUCAAUUGUAAAAAUGAAUCCAAUGAACUUGGUUUAUGAACAGCUGAAAGAAAUUUAGAUUUUAAGUUUUCUCUACUAGGUGUAUGACAACUGUGACUCUAAAAUCAGCAACAUGAUAAUUAACUAUUACUGUUAUUUACAUUAUGCACCUAUGAAAGGGAUGAUUAUAUCUUUUAGAGAAAACAUCUUUCUCUUACUGUGUAUGUGUCUAAUAUUUGUAAAAUAAUUAGUUCAAAACAUAUUAUUUAAUUUCUCCAUUAACUUUUAUUUUACAAAAUGAAAUAAUUGUUUGUAGAUAAUUAAUGGCAACUUUAAAAGUAUGACACCCUUGAAAAAGAAAGAACUUACUAGUUUAGUUUUCUUGACUUUCUUACAUAUUUUUACCUUUUGAAAUAACAUUGAGCUUUCAGUACAUUUAAUAAGAUAUAUCAUCAGUAUUUAUUUCUCAAAAAAUUGAGUAACCUUUCUAAAUUAGAUAAUUUUUAUUUGCUUAUUUUAUUUGCUUUUAACACAUUUUGAAGUUAUGUGUGAGGUAAUUUCCAUUGUUCCAGUUUUAAUUCAAACAAUACUGAACAUACUUACAAUAUCUAAAGAUCUUUGGCCUUUCUUUGCAGAAUUAAUUGGAAAAGGUACAAUAAAUAUGCAAUAUAUCACUCACCAUUUUAAUAUUCUAAAUUUAGCAACUGCUCUUAUACCUAAUGAUUAAUAAUAUAAGUUGUUCUAGUUUCCUUUAUCCGCUGUGGUAUAAAUUUGGCUGUUAAUCCAAUAAUAAAACUAUUUAUAUUUUUAACAUUUUCAAAUAUCAUUACUACUGCUAUUUACUAGUCUCAGUGACAAUCUGAGAUCCUCCUUAGAUGCUUAGAGGAAUCUUUAUACAGGGUUAUAAAUAGAGAAUUCUAAUGAUUAAAAUUUAAAAUGGUAGCAAUGACAAGUCCACUAUAAACAUAAUAAAUAAAUCAUUACCUUCUCUAUUAAUGAACAGAAACUUCAGUACUUUAAAGCUAAUAUCUUGAAAGAUUUUAGAAGUGCAGCAAGAUGGUACUCACACCUAAUGAAAAGGUCUUAGUGAAAAUCAUUUUACAAUUUACAACAUUUGCGUUGUUCUUUACAAAUGUUGUUUCCAUUCCAUGCAAGACAAUUAAUCCAGAAUUAUUUUGACCACAAAUUUUUCUUCCUAAUUAAUUGGCCAAACACAAUGUAAAUAAAAUAGGAAAUGCUUCAGUUAAUAUUUACUAUAUAAACAAACAAACAGAUAGUGGGAUAAUGGUUUUAUCUAUCACCAUAUUCUAGAAUUGUGCCUGGCAUUCAGUAAGCACCUAAUGGAUUAACAAAUAUGUACUUGUAGAUGUCUGCAGACCAAGGUGAAUUUAGUGAAUAUCAAAAACUUCUUGAGUGCUCCAUCGUAACGCCAUUUAUCUUGACAUAAACUGCAAAGAUGGCUCAAAUGUCGAUAAGGAUAUCAGUUCAGGGUCUCCAGUGGCUGCAGCCUAUCCCAGAAGCUCAGGGUGCAAGGCAAGAAGUAAUCGUGGGACCAGGCGCCGUGGCUCUCGCCUGUAAUCCCAGCACUUUGGGAGGCAGAGGCUGGUGAAUCACUUGAGGUCAGGGGUUCCAGACUAGCCUGGCCAACAUGAUGAAACCUCAUCUCCACUAAAAAUACAAAUAUUAAUUGGAUGUAGUGGUACACGCCUGUAAUCCCAGCUACUCGGGAGGCUGAAGCUUGAACCCGGAGGCAGCGGUUGCAGUGAGCUGAGAUCGUGAUACUGCACUCCAGCCUGGGUGAGGGAGUGAGACUCUCUAAAAAAAAAAAAAAAAAAAAAGACUAACCAUGGGCAAGACAUCGUCCCAUUGCAGGGUGCACUCACACACACCCACACUCACUCACACUGGAACAGUGUAGACACACCGAUGAACCCAACAUGCACAUCUUUGGGAUACUAGAGUAAACUGGAGUGCUUAGAGAAAACCCAUGAGAACAUAGGAAGAACUUGCAAACUCCACACAGACAGUGGUCCCUGCAGGGUUUUUCUGUUUGUUGGUUGUUUUUCCUUCAUCAAGUUUGUAAUGAAACGAUGUUGAAUGAUAAAAUAUUAUUUGAGGAAUUGUUGUACAAGGAUUUUGGCAUUUGUCUGGAUAUGGAAAUCAAAGACAUUUUAAAGUGAUUAUAAAUCUUUGUACAUGUUGACAAUAUUCAAUUCAGUUAAAGGCUUUAUCACGGUACAUUGUGACCUCUCUUUAAAUGGUUACAUUACUUUGAGCUCUGAAAAUUUGUUAUACUUACAUUGUUCUAAUUGUUCAUAACUAGGAAUUCACUGACUCUGCUUUAAUGUAUGCUAGGAAAACUGAAGUAGAUAAAUCAUACUUCCCCUUUCAGUCUCCUUCUCUCUUUUGGAUUUAAUUUUAACUCGAGGUUUAUUACUUUCAGAAGUUACACUCAUGUUGCUGCAAAUGUGUUUUUUCUAGUUGUUAAUUUGUUCAUGACAUUCUGCUUGAUGAUAGUAAUAUUAUGAUGAAGGUGCCUCAGAUAUCAAAAAAGAUUUCAAGUCUAUAGAACGUACCUCUAGCUACAGAGUCACAGGAUAUGUGACAGCAAUGAUAUUAGGGGAUGCCGAGCUGGAAACCCAAUUCAGCACCAGAGACAGAAAUACUGUAUUUUGACUCAUUCAUCUUACAUGGAAGAUGAAGCCUGCCAAUCAAGUAGAAAAUGUAGGCCUCCAAGACAAUAACUCACCUGCCUUUUUGUGGUUUAUAUUUUUCAUCUUGGUUAAAAAGUAUCCAUUGAUAGGGGAUUUAGUCAAAACAUUAAAGAAGACAUAAGAUAGCCACCAAAUCUAAUUAUUUCCAACUACUAAAUAUCAGAGCUUUAAAAAAAUUGUUUUUAACUGCAUUUGCUUCAUUUUUCUUAUGGGAUAUUAAUAGAAAAAUGGAGUGCAUUUCUAACAGUUGCAUUUUUUCAUAUGUGUGGCUAUGUUUAUGCUGAUAUUAGUUAAAAGUUCUAAAAACAAGCAAAGAAAAUAUACACAGUUUUUUGACAUUGAUUGGUUGAUAUAAUAAUUAUGUAUAUUUACUUAAUAUGCAUAAUUUAAAAAUGUAUAUUUUUAUGUAUAUAUAUUUAUACGUAUAUAAUUAUGUAUAUUUACUUAAUAUACAUAAUUAUUACCAUGAGCUUGGGCAAAAAAUGUAUUUUGGCAUUCCACUGUUCAGUUUUAAGUCAUUUAUUGGUACAUAAGUCUUUUAUUUCUACUUCAAUAAAUAUAAUUAAGUUUUGUGAAAGCCGUGUUCUAAUGAACAAGUAAUUCUUUCUUUUAAAAUAUUCCUUUUAAUUCUAAUUUAAAGUUUCUUAAGUAAAAAUAUAGCUCUUCAAUAAUAAUAUUGUAAUGUGUUUCUCUUCUAAAAUAAACAGAUUUUAUACUCAUUAUUUUAAAAUGUGAUCAAAACCACAUAAUUGCUUUUAGUCUUCUGAUUGGGAUUUUUAAAAAGAAAAUUCAAAGUUUGGCAUUAAAUAUAUUUUCUGUAAGAUAAUAUAACUACAUAUGAUAAAAUGAUUAAGUACUCUGAUAGUGUCACUAUUUCAAUACCAUUAUUAUCUUUAACAUAUGUUAAAACACUCCAGUACAUAACUAAUAAAGAGGAAUUCACAUGGCCAGCAAUUUUAAA